UACGGGGGGGGUAAGCGUUGUUCGGAAUUACUGGGCGUAAAGGGCUCGUAGGCGGCCAACUAAGUCAUACGUGAAAUCCCUCAGCUUAACUGGGGAACUGCGUGUGAUACUGGAUGGCUUGGAUUUGGGAGAGGGAUGCGGAAUUCCGGGUGUAGCGGUGAAAUGCGUAGAUAUCCGGAGGAACACCGGUGGCGAAGGCGGCUUCCUGGACCGACACUGACGCUGAGGCGCGAAAGCUAGGGGAGCAAACGGG
rnacentral:rRNA from 1 species